GGAGAGGUGUCCGAGUGGCUGAUGGAGCCGGUUUCGAAAACCGGUGUGCGGUAUUUUCCGUACCGGGGGUUCGAAUCCCCCCCUCUCCG
rnacentral:tRNA from 1 species